rnacentral:rRNA from 1 species
GCACUGUUUCGGCUAGGGGGCCAUCCCGGCUUACCAACCCGAUGCAAACUGCGAAUACCGGAGAAUGUUAUCACGGGAGACACACGGCGGGUGCUAACGUCCGUCGUGAAGAGGGAAACAACCCAGACCGCCAGCUAAGGUCCCAAAGUCAUGGUUAAGUGGGAAACGAUGUGGGAAGGCCCAGACAGCCAGGAUGUUGGCUUAGAAGCAGCCAUCAUUUAAAGAAAGCGUAAUAGCUCACUGGUCGAGUCGGCCUGCGCGGAAGAUGUAACGGGGCUAAACCAUGCACCGAAGCUGCGGCAGCGA